UACGUAGGGUGCAAGCGUUAAUCGGAAUUACUGGGCGUAAAGGGCGCGUAGGCGGUCUGCUAAGUUGGAUGUGAAAACUCUGGGCUUAACCCAGAGCCUGCAUUCAAUACUGACAGGCUAGAGUUCGUGGAGGGGAUAGCGGAAUUCCUGGUGUAGCGGUGAAAUGCGUAGAUAUCAGGAGGAACACCGGUGGCGAAGGCGGCUAUCUGGACAGAGUCUGACGCUGAGGCGCGAAAGCUAGGGGAGCAAACAGG
rnacentral:rRNA from 1 species